CCUACGGGCGACAGCAGUGAGGAAUAUUGGUCAAUGGCCGGAAGGCUGAUCCAGCCAUGCCGCGUGAAGGUCAGUGCCCUAUGGGCGUUAAACUUCUUUUGUGCGGGAGCAAUAAUGGUCACGUGUGGCCAGACGAGAGUACCGUACGAAUAAGCAUCGGCUAACUCCGUGCCAGCAGCCGCGGUAAUACGGGGGAUGCAAGCGUUAUCCGGAUUUAUUGGGGUUAAAGGGUGCGUAAGCAGUGAGGUAAGUCAGCGGUGAAAUGCCCCCGCUCAACGGGGUGAAGUGCCAUUGAUACUGGCUUGCUUGAGUGCGGAUGCGGUGGGAGGAAUGUGUGGUGUAGCGGUGAAAUGCAUAGAUAUCAGAAAGAACACCGAUUGCGAAGGCAGCUCACGAAUCCGCGAUUGACGCUGAUGCACGAAAGCGUGGGUAGCAAACAGGAUUAGAUACCCGAGUAGUC
rnacentral:rRNA from 1 species